AUCGCUUCUCGGCCUUUUGGCUAAGAUCAAGUGUAGAUUUCCACAUCAAAACACUGAGGCAAGAAAUGUUUUUGGUUCACUGUUUCUCCUGUUUUUAAGCAAAUAGGUAAAAUUACACUCCGGAGAAUUGUGCCUUUUGGUACAGUGAUUGCACUGACCUGGCAGUCACCCACCCCGU
rnacentral:snRNA from 1 species